rnacentral:rRNA from 1 species
CAAGCGGACCUCAUAAAGUAUGUCGAAGUCCGGAUUGGAGUCUGCAACUCGACUCCAUGAACUCGCAAUCGCUAGUAAUCGUAGAUCAGAAUGCUACGGUGAAUACGAACCCGGGCCUUGUACACACCGCCCGUCACACCAAUGGAGUGGGUUGCAAAAGAAGUAUGUAGCUUAACAUUCGGGAGGGCGCUUACCACGUUGUGAUUCAUGACUGGGGUGAAGUCGUAACAAGGUA